rnacentral:rRNA from 1 species
GACGAACGCUGGCGGCGUGCUUAACACAUGCAAGUCGAACGGUAAGGCCCGGCUUUUGUUGGGUGCUCGAUUGGCGAACGGGUGGGUAACACGUGAGUAACCUGCCCUUCACUUUGGGAUAACUGCUGGUACCUGGGGAUAUCACCGAAUAGGAGCUCUUGCUGCCUGGGGGGGGUCGGAAAGUUUCGGCGGUUGGGGAUGGGCUGGGGGCUUAUCAGCUCGUUGGUGGGGUAGUGGCUUACCAUGGCUUUGAGGGGUAGCGGGGCUGAGAGGGGGGCCGGCGAAAUUGGAACGGGACUGCGGCCCAGACUCCUAUGGGAGGGAGGAGUGGGGAAGAUUGCACAAGAGGCGGAAGGCUGAUGUAGCAACGCCGCGUGCGGGAUGACGUCAAUCGGGUUGGAAACCGCUUUCGCUUGAGACGAAGCGUGAGUGACGGUAAUGGGUAAAGAAGCACCGGCUAACUACGUG